rnacentral:rRNA from 1 species
GACAGAGGAGGCAAGCGUUGUUCGGAAUCAUUGGGCUUAAAGCGCGCGUAGGCGGCCUUGUAAGUGUCUUGUGAAAUCCCACGGCUCACCCGUGGAACUGCAGGGCAAACUGCAAGACUUGAGGUCGGUAGAGGCGCCUGGAACUCUAGGUGGAGCGGUGAAAUGCGUAGAUAUCUAGGGGAACGCCGGAGGCGAAAGCGGGGCGCUGGGCCGAUUCUGACGCUGAUGAGCGAAAGCGUGGGGAUCAAACAUG